CCGCUGGCUUCAAAACUGGGAUUGGGCAGCAGUCAGACCUGGUGGG
rnacentral:tRNA from 14 species